ACCACCACAUCUAUACCAAAAUAUUGUAAAGGAUCCCAUUGAACAAAAAAAUGAAAAAUUAAUAGAUAAAACAACAAAAGCGCAGUACAAAAAAUUGAAAAAGGGUGAGACUAGGUCAAAUUAAGUCUUCACUAUGGACAAGACUAGAUUAAAUCGAGAGCACGCCAUGGAGGGGCCUAGGUCAAAUUCACUCUCUACCAUGGAAGGGCCUAGGUCUAUUUUAGUCUCCACCAUGGGUAAGAUUGAAUUUGCUCCAGUCUGUCCCAUAGUCUCCCCCUAGUUUUUCAGAAAAAAAUUGAAAUAGAGACAAGAAUUACCAUGUUUUCGCUCAGUUAUACAUAAUCUUCCGCCCUUUCGAGGACUUGUGCAACCUCGUUACUUAGAUUUUUGUGCUUUGGUAAAUGGAGGUGGUGGUGGGACAGAGAAAGAAUGUGCAAACCAUAAAACUGGUGGUAUGGUGGUGGUGUUGUAGUAUUGUGGUGGAGAGACAAUGUGGUGGUGGUGGUAGCAGUGUUGUGGUGGUGGUGGCACUACAUAUAUUAAUGAAACAUUGUUAGGUUAAUUACAAUGAUGCAGAUUUAAUCAUGAUAUAUAGUGGGCUUGAUGAUAUAGCAAAGGCCAAAGACAUUGCUAGAAAAGUCAUCCAAGAGGAAUUCCACUGAAUCUUCUGCUAAACUGCGAAACGGAAGAGUAGGAUAUCAAAGCAUGUUACACUUGGGAAUGACAACGGAUUGGAUUCCAGUCGGAUGUGACUAAAUCUGAAUCCAAUCCGUUAAGACUCGGAUUUGAAUCUGAGUCGAAUUCGAGUUCGAAUCCGACUCAUUAUUUUCAGAUCUAAAUCAUGUCCGUUUAUUUGGACCUCCAAAAUGACCUAAAUAUUUUUUUUUUUACUUUUUUUUUUUUUUUUUUUUUUUUGUAAUGUGUGAUAUACCUAUAAUUUUUUGUAUUGUCAUACCGAAUGAAGUAUAAACAUAACAUAUUUAAAUUAUGAACUAAGUUACAUAAUAAAUUUCUUCUAUAAAACAAGCAAGCAAUUGUCCCAACUCCCAAGUUAUAAAGCAUAUACUCAUACUUUCGGACUUGGAGUCAAAUCGGACUCGGUCAGACUUUGCAUAGGGUCCAAGUCCGAUCUGCCUUCCAUUCGGAUUCAGAUCUAAUUAUC